GACGAACGCUGGCGGCGUGCUUAACACAUGCAAGUCGAACGGAAAGGCCCUGCUUUUGUGGGGUGCUCGAGUGGCGAACGGGUGAGUAACACGUGUGUAACCUGCCCUUGACUUUGGGAUAACUUCAGGAAACUUGGGCUAAUACCCGAUAGGAGCUCCUGCUGCAUGGUGGGGGUUGGAAAGUUUCGGCGGUUGGGGAUGGACUCGCGGCUUAUCUGCUUGUUGGUGGGGUAGUGGCUUACCAAGGCUUUGACGGGUAGCCGACCUGUGAGGGUGACCGGAGAAAUGGGGAAUGAGAGACGGCACAGAAGCAUACGGGAGGCAGGAGUGGGGAAUAGUGCACAAUGGGAGGAAGCCUGAUGCAGCAAAGCAGCGUGCGGGAUGACGGCCUUCGGGUUGUAAACCGCUUUAGCCUGUGACGAAGCGUGAGUGACGGUAAUGGGUAAAGAAGCACCGGCUAACUACGUG
rnacentral:rRNA from 1 species